CAGUCGCCGCGGUAAUACGUAGGGUGCAAGCGUUAAUCGGAAUUACUGGGCGUAAAGCGUGCGCAGGCGGUUUGUUAAGACAGAUGUGAAAUCCCCGGGCUCAACCUGGGAACUGCAUUUGUGACUGGCAAGCUAGAGUAUGGCAGAGGGGGGUGGAAUUCCGCGUGUAGCAGUGAAAUGCGUAGAUAUUCGGAGGAACACCAGUGGCGAAGGCGGCUCACUGGACCAUUACUGACGCUGAGGUGCGAAAGCGUGGGGAGCAAACAGGAUUAGAGACCCCCGUAGUCCCUGUCUUUUAUAC
rnacentral:rRNA from 1 species